rnacentral:rRNA from 1 species
UACGGGAGGGGCAAGCGUUGUUCGGAAUUACUGGGCGUAAAGGGCUCGUAGGCGGCCUACUGAGUCAGACGUGAAAUCCCUCGGCUCAACCGGGGAACUGCGUCUGAUACUGGUGGGCUCGAAUCCGGGAGAGGGAUGCGGAAUUCCAGGUGUAGCGGUGAAAUGCGCAGAUAUCGGGAGGAACACCGGUGGCGAAGGCGGCUCUCUGGGCCUGUCCUGACGCUCAGGCGCGAAAGCUAGGGGAGCAAACAGGAUUAGAAACCCCCAGUAGU